GGCGUGUCCAAGUACAGCAGGGUUUACAACUAAUUGUUCACCAGUUACAGAUAUUUUUGUUCCUUCUCCACUUCUACUGCUUCACUUGACUAGCCUUUA
rnacentral:Y_RNA from 1 species